rnacentral:misc_RNA from 1 species
GAUGAAGAACGUAGCGAAAUGCGAUAAGUAGUGUGAAUUGCAGAAUUCAGUGAAUCAUCGAAUCUUUGAACGCACAUUGCGCCCCUUGGUAUCCCGAGGGGCAUGCCUGUUUGAGCGUCAUUUCACCACUCAAGCCUGGCUUGGUGUUGGGCGACGUCCUCUUUGGGGACGCGCCUCGAAACGCUCGGCGGCGUGGCACCGGCUUUAAGCGUAGCAGAAUCUUUCGCUUUGGAAGUCGGGGCCCCGUCUGCCGGAAGACCUGCUCGCAAGGUUGACCUCGGAUCAGGCAGGGAUACCCGCUGAACUUAAGCAUAUCAAUAAGCGGAGGA